GAUCCAUCGGCAGGCGCUAUGCCCGAACUGAUGAGAUCGGCGUGGCAUUCGGGAUCACCAUCGACUUCGACACGGUCAACAGGGAUCCCCACACGGCUACCUUGAGAGACCGGGAUUCGAUGCGGCAGAUACGAGCGGAGAUCUCCGAGCUUCCGACCAUAGUCCGGGACCUUGCCAAUGGCCACAUGACCUGGGCCGACGUGGAGGCGAAGUACCCGCUCUUUGAGGGACAAGAGACUGGCAAAAAGGAGACCAUCGAGGAAUGAAGCUCACGUCCGGCAGAGAGACCUUACCCGGAAGUCCACUUUUUACUGUUCAUGUUAAUACGAAACUUCUCAUGUGUAUUCUUCAAAACCGCAUCGUAUGCGUGCCCAGGGACAUGUUUUGGUUAUUUCCCCGCCCCCACAAUGGCUGCCUAAUUUUAACUCCUGUCUCCAGUAUCUGCAAUUAAAAGUGAAUGAGAGC